UUCUACUUUGACAUUAUUUACAUGUACUUUUCAGGCCCCAUUAUGUGUGAGUUUUGGGAGUCAUUUUGAUACUCUUUUUGGUGUAAUAUUCCACAAUAUUUUUAUAUUCUGGACCCACAGAUUUUCCUCUAGCCCAGCAUGCACUAGCACAUCCGAUGCAACUAAAAUCAGGUGCAAUGGAUCUGUUAGUGAUGCAUUUAGUGGACUAUAAUAAAAAUGGGUUCCUCAGGAACAGGACUGAAAAACAUUGAAUAGGUCUGUCUAUAUUUCCUGUCAUUUUCAUAUCCACCUUUGACACUUAAAAACUUAAGUGAUUGAUAUAAUUAAUGAAAGAAGGUAAGAAGAAAGGAAACUAUAACCUUUUAGGGUGGGUUGCACCAACAUGGUUUUAAUUAAUCUAGGAUUAGAGCUAAUCUAGGUUUUGUAAAUCUAGGUUUAUAAUUAAUCAGAGAUGUGUGGCACCACUUCAUUUUAAAUCUGGCUCAGUAAAUCUAUAAUUAACGGUUUUAAACUAUGAUUACUGACAUGUUGCACCAAUAUAUGAGUUUUUUCUUGAGUUGAAACAAAGUAGAUGGGCCAUUUUAUGCGACACAUUUAAUGGAUCGACACGGAUUAAAGAAAAAAGGAACCCAAAUCAAAUGAAGGUGUGCUGGAAAAACGAAAAGCGAAAGCGAAAGCAAAAAAAUGAUGCAGCAGAGGCGAGUGCUCUUUCAGACCGGAGGGGGCCUCCAAGGCUAUUGAUCCUCUCUCCCAGAAGAUUUGAGAGAUGGUUCCCCAGCAGUUUUCCCCUCUCCUUAACUCUUAUGAUGACGACGGACAACUCGGCCCACCAAUAUUUAGUAAACAUAAAUAACUGGGACUCCUGAAACAACCAGCAAACCAGGCUGUCGUAAUGUGAAUCAGUGGAUGUAAAGAAUCUAGCUAGCUAAAGCAUUUACUGCAAAUUGAAUGUACAAUUUUGGAAGCUUGCCUUGCUGAUAUUUGCCAUGCAAUGUGUUGGAUCCUGUGUUUUACAUUAUAGCCAUUACCAUAUAUAUGAUUGAAUAUUAUCUGCUGUUGGCUUGUGUGGAUGUAUGUAUGUGUUAUGCAACAUAGCUGACUUGAAACAUUGUUAAAAGUAUCAGGGCCAUGGGACUUUCUCAUGAUGGAAAAAUACAGAGAAGCAUGAAGACAGUAACUGUUCAAAUUAGUUGGGAGGGGGGCACAUUCAGAGCGGGGUGUUGCGUGAACAAGCGGUCUUUUGUUAGAUAACAGGAGCCAGGUGCGAGAUAACGGUAUGGAGCAUGAGAGCCUGGAUGUUCUUCACAAGCAACAUUUACAUCUAUCAACAGAAGCGCCAAGAGGCGGGGACCCGCCUGAGCACCUGCAAUAGGCUGAGCAAGUUUAAACCACGCCCAGUCUCUACUGUGAUAAGCCAACAGACGGGUUGGAACUGUCUAUCACAGUAUAAAGAAUACUGUUUUACAUACAACUUGUCAGUUCUCCGUUCUGCCCUGCGUGGUAUUACAGUGAGCCCGUAUAUACGAAAGUUGCAUUUGCCAUUUUUUACUUAGCUAAUAAAAAAUACAUAGUAUAAAAUCGGUGACUCAUUGUUAUAUUUAUCCUGAUACCAGAUUCGAAUUUACGCAACCCUAACAAAUGCAGAAAGAUGAAGUAACGUAGUUAUUAUGUUCUUGCUUAUUGUGCAGUGGAGGAUACAAAUACCUGUAUUGUAACCUGUACAUUUAAUAUAUUCACUGAUCAUGUAUUCUACCUUGGCAAAUAAAUGUGCAGUUCAGGUA